UCAACGCCUACAAAUGCACUUAUGUCUAUAUAUGUAUACGUAACGGUCGCUUCGUUUACACAGAAUAAUAAUUAUUCUGCGUCAAUGUUUGUACAAAUUGCUACUAACGCUCUCCCCUCUUGCCACGUAAUUUUUAACAAAUUUAAUCGUAUUAACUUUACGGAUAUAAGAAGUUCUAUUAAGCAGUAAUACGACUUUAGAUUGAUAAGUUAAAUUUUUGAAUAAAUUGUAAUUUAUUUUUAUUAGUACACAAUAUUGUCUUCUUGCAAAGCGUCGUCGAUGUGCUCAUGGAAUUGCUUAUGUUCGUGUUCUACUGUAACCCGUUACGAUUAGGUGAACCAUAGGAUCUAGGUGGAUCUUCGAUGGCAAAAUACAAAUAUAUAAUCCUAUAUAUAAAAAAAAUAUUUAGUGUCUAAAAUAUUUUGACAUAGUUUAAACGUUAUAAAAAAAUAUGUAUGCUCCUUUUUAUUACCUAUGUCAAUAAACCACAGUGAUCAAUCAAGAAAAAAGUACCUUUUUGUUAACUGAUCGUCAUUGUUUUCAUGACGCAUUGUUUUUUACAUUUUACGAUAACCAUUUUUUUUAUUACAUCUUUGGAUGUUUCAAAUAAGGUUGUCGAUAUCAAAUGGUAAUCUCCGAAAUGUUGUAAAUAGCAACUAUAAUUUUACAGUCGUGAUAACGUAAAUAGAGCACGAAGUAUGCCGCAUGCAUUAUUUACAACGCGGGUCGGUAUGCGCACACGCAAUCAUACAGUCAUAUGUACAGCUAAUGUGGAAAAUGUCAUUUACAUCGAACAUAAAAUUAAAGCUGGUUAUUCUUGUGAAGUUGUUUCACAAAUCAUAAGGUAUUCUAUAGAUCUUAGAUGUCAACAACAGAGUAUGAGUUCUUAGUUAUGGUUCCAGUUCCAACUGAGCAGUCAGGACCAGACUGUUUCGCUGCGUGUUAAGAAUUUCAAUUCUCCAUGUUUAAUUUCUAUUGCCGUUCCCACAUCACGAUGUGACUCGCUCAUGAGUCAACGAGCCUAAGGCAGCAAGCUAAACUAUGUUAACAUAAUAAUCUGUCUUUCUUUAUAAUAAUAUAAAAAAGAAAUUGUUCGUGUUACAAAUUGUCAACUUGUGUAAAUACAUAAUUAUUAUGUACAUAAUUUUAGCUUUCUUUUUGAAUUUUUUUUAGGUUUCAAUCCGUGUAUUUUAGCUAGAUGCGAAAAUAGCAUUACGUUAAUAUACAAUAAAGUUCUUUAAUACUAUACAAUACCUACUUAGUCGUAAAGCCUUUGAUGUAAAAAUUAAAUAGACUAAGAAAUUUUGGUUAAGUAUAAAAUAUCUUUGAGACUAAAAUUCAGCUUGGCAAUUUUUGUUGACCCUACGAGGUUGUACGGUCAUUGCUCGGCGGCGAUGAUGGCGGCGCCCGCCCGGGCCUCACGCACUCACUACUGCGAAAUUAUUGCACCCAAACCGCUUAAAUUUUAUUUACCCAAAAUUUGAAAGUUUAAAUUACUAUAGCUUCAUCAAGUGGCAAAAAUAUCGCAAUGGUUUUUCGAUAUUUUACUGAUGAUAUGACAUUUCAGUCGACGUAUUUGUACGCUAUUUGUAUUCGCGCUAUUAAAGUAGACUCAAUGCAGUUAAAAAAGUUUAUAAUCAAGAUUAAUGCUGAAAUAUCUUAGUGAUCUAGUAUGAAUCUGAAGAAGCAUCAUCUGUUUUGAUCCGAAAUUUUCAAAUAUUUCGUCUGAGUGAUCAGAUCGCAAACAAGUCUUUGUAAUGUGAUGGAGUGGUGAGGUGCGCGGUGAGAGCGGGGCGCGUUCAACGAACGUCCGCGGGCCGGCACGGGCCCAAGGUCGCCGCGUUCACUCGCACGACACCGCACUACUCCACCAUCGACUGUGCAGCCCAUUCAGGGAGGCACUCCGAGUUUCACUACAACAGUAUAACUCAGUAUUAUUUAACAAAAAUACAAAAAAAAAAUUGAAAUUAAAAAAUAAGGCGGCCAUGUUUUACAGAUAAGCGUAUAGCGUUUCCGAUUGUUAGCACACUAUUUUGGAUGUGUUUAUCGAACUACCUAAGUAUAUUUUGCCUAUUAAGAUUUGAUAAAAGCAUUUUAACUAUGA